ensembl:lncRNA
CCUAACCCCACUCUAUCCUAACCCUAACCUAUUCCUAACCCUAACAUAUCCCUAACCCCACUCUAUCCUAACCCUAACCUAUCCCUAACCCUAACUCCACUGUAGCCUAACCCUAACCUAUCGUAACCCGUAUCUAACCUAACCCUAACCAACACCCACUGUCUGGUAAUGAUUGUUGAUAAGACAAUAGAAGGUUUCGUUGUGGUGACUGUGCCUCAUUUGGUCAAAAAUCCCUGAUAUAAAUUCCUGGUAAAUAUGUGAUAUAUUCCUAUUGGUCAAUGGGCUCUCCAGACUGAACAAUAGGCUGGUUUUAGAGGUUAUCACGUAUUACUAGAUAAUUACUGCAACUAUUAGCAACAUAUUAUAACUUGUUUAUCAUCAGAAUGUAUUUCUUUCCAAUAAGUGAUAUAUUCUGAUAUAGUCUUUAUUUUAGAGGUAGGAUACCAAGAUUAUACUACACUGGUAUUUAGAGGUAGGAUACCACGAUUAUACUACACUGGUAUUUAGAGGUAGGAUACCUUCAUUAUACUAUUCUACUAUUGUUAUGACUUGUUAAAUGAUCAGGUUGACUUCCCGUACUUUGGCAUGCUGCUGCGGUUACAGACAGACAACCCUGAGACUGAAACAGUUUCCUUGUGUUAAUCGGUAUUGUUAGUCGUCAACAGUAUCUAUGUCAAACCCCGGGUUAAGACCGGCAGGAGGCUGCCAGGCCCCAUCUGUUCCCCCAGCUGCAGGCGUGGCUGGGCCCGGGAUUGGAGAACAGGAGAGACGGGAAUAAGGG